GAUGAACGCUAGCUACAGGCUUAACACAUGCAAGUCGAGGGGAAACGGCAUUUAGUGCUUGCACCGAAUGGACGUCGACCGGCGCACGGGUGAGUAACGCGUAUCCAACCUUCCCAUAACUAAGGAAUAACCUGCCGAAAGGCAGACUAAUACCUUAUGUAAUCCUUUGAUGGCAUCAGAUAAGGAUAAAAGAUUUAUCGGUUAUGGAUGGGGAUGCGUCUGAUUAGCUUGUUGGCGGGGUAACGGCCCACCAAGGCAACGAUCAGUAGGGGUUCUGAGAGGAAGGUCCCCCACAUUGGAACUGAGACACGGUCCAAACUCCUACGGGAGGCAGCAGUGAGGAAUAUUGGUCAAUGGACGGAAGCCUGAACCAGCCAAGUAGCGUGCAGGAUGACGGCCCUAUGGGUUGUAAACUGCUUUUGUAUGGGGAUAAAGUCAAUCACGUGUGAUUGUUUGCAGGUACCAUACGAAUAAGGACCGGCUAAUUCCGUGCCAGCAGCCGCGGUAAUACGGAAGGUUCGGGCGUUAUCCGGAUUUAUUGGGUUUAAAGGGAGCGUAGGCCGGAGAUUAAGUGUGUUGUGAAAUGUAGACGCUCAACGUCUGACUUGCAGCGCAUACUGGUUUCCUUGAGUACGCACAACGUUGGCGGAAUUCGUCGUGUAGCGGUGAAAUGCUUAGAUAUGACGAAGAACUCCGAUUGCGAAGGCAGCUGACGGGAGCGCAACUGACGCUGAAGCUCGAAGGUGCGGGUAUCGAACAGG
rnacentral:rRNA from 1 species